rnacentral:rRNA from 1 species
UGGGGAAUAUUGCACAAUGGGGCGAAAGCCUGAUGCAGCGACGCCGCGUGAGCGAAGAAGUAUUUCGGUAUGUAAAGCUCUAUCAGCAGGGAAGAUAAUGACGGUACCUGACUAAGAAGCACCGGCUAAAUACGUGCCAGCAGCCGCGGUAAUACGUAUGGUGCAAGCGUUAUCCGGAUUUACUGGGUGUAAAGGGAGCGCAGGCGGUGCGGCAAGUCUGAUGUGAAAGCCCGGGGCUCAACCCCGGUACUGCAUUGGAAACUGUCGUACUAGAGUGUCGGAGGGGUAAGCGGAAUUCCUGGUGUAGCGGUGAAAUGCGUAGAUAUCAGGAAGAACACCAGUGGCGAAGGCGGCUUUCUGGACUGCAACUGACACUGAGGCUCGAAAGCCAGGGAAGCGAACGGGAUUAGAUACCCUGGUAGU